UCAUUUAGUUUCAUUUUAAUAUUUAUUUUUAGCCCCCAAAGGCUAAUUUCUAAUUCCGCCCAGACUCUAGUAUCAAUGUCUACUAUUUAUCCAUCCAAAAUCAUUGCUCGAACUAAUUUAAACAUAAAUUCCACACUGUUUAAGGAAACAUAUUUUGUUAUAGCAAAGCAUGCCAAAGUUGAUAAUCAAGCAUUGCUAGAAAGUUAAAAUUAUGGAUUUUUUUUUUUUCAAUCCCUAUGUAAUUGCGAAAUACUUUUGUUGUAAAUCAAAGUUGUAAAAUUUCAACAAUCAAACAUACAAAUUUUAGGUGGUUUGGCUACACAUACUUCAUAAAACUCACUACUGAACUUCUCAAUGCACAAUAAUAAACCUCUUGAACAUCAAUAAUACUAACAAGCUUUCAUAUUUUUUAAGCACUCUAAAUAGAAUAUAAUCUAGGCCACUUUAUAUAAAGGUUCUAUAUGUAACAACUCAGCCAAAUAACCUAAAUAACUUUUAGGUCCUUAAACUAUUAGAUCAAAAAUGGUUAACCCCAGUUAUUUAAUAAUUGAACUUAAGUUACAUAUAUAUCCCUUAUACUUUCCGUUGGGACUUCCUAAAGUGGGGCGUUAUAGUCUCUCCCUCUUAAUUUUGCAACUUUCUCGUUGCAAUGUUGAUGCCAAUUUUCAGGUAUAAUUACUAUAUUAGGAUCAGACCCUCGACUAUUAUGGUUCACUGGUGCCAACUAACCCAAAUAACUUUUUAUACUCUUGAACCACUAGACCUAAAAUGAUUAACCCAAGUUAUUUAAUACUUGAACCUAAGUUACAUAUUUCUCACAUACUUUCCAUAAGCCCAUGGAACUUGCCACAGUGGAGCGUUACACUAUGCAUCCAUUGCUAAGGAAAACUAAAAAAUUUCCUAUGCUCUUUAAGACAACCAAUAAUGUAUUGAAGUUCCAAAACCAAUUCAAAUUUGAACACUAUGGGUCUUUCAGGCACAAAAAGCCAUUCAUAAACAAUCAGAGAUUCAAGUUUAAUGUUUAAUUGGAUCCCAAAUUAAUGCAUCCCAAUACAAAUCACACUUGUCUAAGUGAAAGCAUAUUUAUGUCACCCUUAUUCCUUGUACAAACAAAUAUAUCAAAUCAAUUUUCUGUCCAAAAUACUCCCAAUAAUUUCAGUUUAAUCACCUUCAAUCAAGUGGGUCGUUGAUGGUUCAGCUAAAAAGUCAUACAUGAAUUUAAAGGUUCUAUAAUCACAUAAAGCAUCCUUGGCCUUAUAGUGAACUUGACAAAUACUUCUUGAUGGGAUGAUCGGCAUAUAUUUUUAUAUCAGAGCAAAGAGACGCGCAUAAUUUUUAGCACUUUUAGGUCCUUCAAGCUUCCAACACCAAUAACCAACAAACUAAGGCUUCAUUUGGGAUUAGGGCUGUGAGGCCGAAAAGCUUGUUUGAAAUUGCCUUCUGUAAAAACAUCUUUUUGGAUGUUGAAAUAAUUGUUUGAAAAAGUUAUUUUGUUAUGUUUGAUUAAAAUAUGUCAAAUUUAAAUUAAAAUCAAAAUUUAAAGGUCCUUAAUAAACAUUUUUGAGAUGGUAUUUUUCUCAACAAUAACUCAAACAACAAUAUUAAAUAGACUCCAAGUUGUUUCACCAUGUCUCCGCUCCCCCUAAGGGCAAGAGGGUUCCUUCAUAUGAGAGCAAAUAGACACUCUUUUCCAUCCAAUGGAUUAUUAAUACCAAUUUAGCAGAAAAUUUUUAAUUGUCCAAGGAAGGUACAAAAAGCUAUGGACUUGGAAUUUUGAUUAACAAACCCUCCAAAAAUGUUUGACUAAGGUAUUUUUCAAGAUCCAUGUUAAGAACACAAUAAGAAAACACAAUCAGAUCCAUCGUUGAUACCUUAGUGAAGAGGGUUUCAACAACAGACUAAUAUCCACUGUUGAAGGUCAAUUUUUUUAUUUAGCUAUGGAUUUAGUAACAGAUUAUAAUCAUCUUUGAAAACUUUGUCACUAGUAAGUUUUAACACGGACAGAUCCAUCAAUUUGUCGCCGAUACCUUAAUUUUUUUUGGAGUGGAACCUUGGCUAUGGCUUCUUUUGUUAUUUGGAAUGAAAUAUAAAAAGGGAUAUGGUAAGAAAAACAUACCAUGGAAGCUUAAAGGUGUCUUUCCACCAUCCCUGUUUUGAACAGUGGGCAACUAUUCUAUCCAAUCGUAUAAUGAUCUCAGAAAAGGUUGGCCUAGCAACAGGUUCUGGAUGCCAACAUUCAUCAAUCAACUCUUUUAGAUCUAGAGGAUAACUUCUUGAUUUUGUCUUGAAUGACGGUCUCUGUUUCUCCAAACACAUCAAUUUCACAGCUUCUUCUGGAGAUUUAGGAUGGAAAGGCAGCACUCCCUCAAUCAUCUAAGCCAAACAAAAAUAAAAAUACAAGGGAAAAAAGUGUUUUAACUCUAACUUCCUAAUAUUGAACAACCAUUAACAUAAAGCCUGCAUGAUAAAUCAGUACAGGAUUUAAUAAUCCUAAGAUUGCAAUAAGCUAAUUCAACUUGAUAUACCUUGAUUGUGCUACCAAGCUGCUAAUACAUAAGAAAUUUGAGAAAAGAAAUGUACCUCAUAUAAAAUGACACCAAAAGAGUAUGCAUCCACACUUCUAUCAAAUAUUCCAUCUUUAUAAACCUCAGGUGCCACAUAAAUAUCUAUAAACCAACAAAGCAACACUAUUAUUUGAAUUCAAGUCCAGAAUAUAAAAUUGCUUUUUAGUUUUUCACCUAAUAAUAUGAACUUCAUGGGAUUAGAUUGGAUAAGGAGUCAUGAAAAGAAAAGAUUCCAACAAAUUAUAAACUGGUAUAUGAGGUGUGCGUUAACUUUACUUGAUGGACUAUAAGAACUUACUUGAUGGGUCAAUGGGAGUUCCGGGUGCUACUUUAGCUUUGUCAGGUGAAAUCUUUGACAACUUUAUCAAACCAAACCCAGAUACCUUCAACUGACCACCAUUAUCCAGCAAAAUAUUUUUUGGCUUUAAAUCACAAUGGAUGAUGGAAUCUGGUUUGCAUUCAUGAAGAUAGUUCAUUCCCCUAGCAAUAUCA
rnacentral:misc_RNA from 1 species